GAUGAACGCUGGCGGCGUGCCUAAUACAUGCAAGUCGAGCGAACAGACGAGGAGCUUGCUCCUCUGACGUUAGCGGCGGACGGGUGAGUAACACGUGGAUAACCUACCUAUAAGACUGGGAUAACUUCGGGAAACCGGAGCUAAUACCGGAUAAUAUAUUGAACCGCAUGGUUCAAUAGUGAAAGACGGUUUUGCUGUCACUUAUAGAUGGAUCCGCGCCGCAUUAGCUAGUUGGUAAGGUAACGGCUUACCAAGGCAACGAUGCGUAGCCGACCUGAGAGGGUGAUCGGCCACACUGGAACUGAGACACGGUCCAGACCCCUACGGGAGGCAGCAGUAGGGAAUCUUCCGCAAUGGGCGAAAGCCUGACGGAGCAACGCCGCGUGAGUGAUGAAGGUCUUCGGAUCGUAAAACUCUGUUAUUCGGGAAGAACAAAUGUGUAAGUAACUAUGCACGUCUUGACGGUACCUAAUCAGAAAGCCACGGCUAACUACGUG
rnacentral:rRNA from 1 species